UACGUAGGGGGCAAGCGUUGUCCGGAUUUAUUGGGCGUAAAGAGCGUGUAGGCGGCCAGGUAGGUCAGCUGUGAAAACUCGAGGCUCAACCUCGAGACGCCGGUUGAAACCAUCUGGCUAGAGUCCGGAAGAGGAGAGCGGAAUUCCUGGUGUAGCGGUGAGAUGCGCAGAUAUCAGGAGGAACACCGGUGGCGAAGGCGGAUCUCUGGGCCAUUACUGACGCUGAGGAGCGAAAUCGUGGUGAGCGAACAGG
rnacentral:rRNA from 1 species